rnacentral:rRNA from 1 species
AACUGAAGAGUUUGAUCAUGGCUCAGAUUGAACGCUGGCGGCAGGCUUAACACAUGCAAGUCGAGCGGGGGAAGGUAGCUUGCUACCGGACCUAGCGGCGGACGGGUGAGUAAUGCUUAGGAAUCUGCCUAUUAGUGGGGGACAACAUCUCGAAAGGGAUGCUAAUACCGCAUACGUCCUACGGGAGAAAGCAGGGGAUCUUCGGACCUUGCGCUAAUAGAUGAGCCUAAGUCGGAUUAGCUAGUUGGUGGGGUAAAGG